GUCCCUUGGUCCAGAUACUAGGAUGACAUAUUGUUACAAUGUCUAAGAGAGUAUUUGGCUUAACUUAUGAAAAUUAACUAAUAAGCACUAAGAGCUUCUAAACUAAUUUGAGCUUCUAAGCAUUUAAAAAUUUAAGUAGUUAUAUGUUUGGUUAAAGUGUUUAUAAAAAUUUGACAAGCAAUUGACAUGUUUGGUAAAAAAAUGCUUGUAAUUAUAGUUAACAUGACUAAAAAGGACACUAAGUUCAAAAAUUUAAAAUAAGGGUACAUAGUGAAACUUUUAAAAAUUAAAAGGGAGUAAUGUGAUAAUGUACUUAGUCAAACUAGAUUACAAGCAUAGUAUUUAUAAGUACCAAAAUGAAAAGUUAGU
rnacentral:misc_RNA from 1 species